AUUCCAACACAACAACAAACGCGGGCGAUUUGUGCGACUUCUUCAAGGGAGAAAGCCUUUGAUCAUGAUGUCUGUCAGGAUCCAGUGAUUAUCCCACCUCCCCAGCAACCUGCAACCUACAGGCAAACUUUGAGGUUGUAGAAUAAUGGCAACUGUUGGGAACUGAAUGCCUCCUCACUUUGUUCUACCUACCUCCUAGAGAACCAGAAGAGUGAGGGAACAGUUUGAUGCCAAACAAUCAACAUGCUCAUCCCAUCCCCUGCUGGCAGGCAAAUGUAGCAGACUGGCACGGUUUGGUAGCUGUAGCUCAAAUUGAGCCUCGCCACAUGUUCCCCUUUGCUUUUGUGCCGUCUCUUGUAGGAAGUAGUUUUGUUUAGCACAGAGCCGCUAUCAGCACAAAAAUAUCUUACAAAGGGAUAGCUGAAAAAAUACGACAAGAUCUAUAUGAGUCAACUUGUAAUAACCAGCCACCACUAGAGGAAAUUCAUUGCUUCUUAAACCCUUGGGUGUCGGAAAGAUUGUAUUGGAGCCCCCGUCUGACGAUGGAAGGAUUUGGACUCCAUCGGGAAGUUUUGCAGCAGUUAUUACCUCCUGAAGAUGCUCUGAUAUAAAAGGAGAACACAAUUUAUUGCGAAAUUCAGCUCUCCCAGACAAUAGAAAACCCCUAGUUAUAGUGGUGGAAAUUAAUAAAUGGGCUGCGGAAACAUUUACAGGGGAAUGCAAUGCAAGUUAUAAGCAGAAUAUAAAUUCCCAAAAGAAAGAAAACAAAGAAAGAAGAAUGAUAUUUGUAAGACUAUUUAGCAGUUGCUGAUUUUAUAUGCACAAAGACAGUAGGGGACACUAGUGCAAAGUGCAAACCACCACAAUCUUGCACCCUGGGUGUAGGUCUUUGUGCUCCAGAAUGUUUUUCUUACACGUAUACAGCAAUAUCUGUGUUUAACCAGGGGAAUGUUGGGGUGGCAUGUAGGGGUCCCCAAUUCUGCCUUUCCUUCUAUCUUGCACAACAUUUAAAGACAGAACUGUGCUCUGCACCUUGUGCUGGGCUUUUAAUCUUGUGUAGAUGGCAGCAAUGCCUUGAACCAAAAUGCUCAGGAAAUGAAAACGGAGAGGUGUGAAUUGGCAGCCCUUUGUGCUCUUGCAUUUGCUUGGUGUUUUUCACGACUAAGGGUGGGUACGUUAAGAUUCGCUGGCGAGUGGAUCUUCUCUCGAUAUGCCGAACUAAGGUGGGCUAAUUUGAUAGUUUGGACCUAGGGUCAAGUGAUCAAAUUACAAUUCAUCAGACCGAGGAUUGCAUCAACGAGCCGACAUGAUCCCCAAACAGGAAAAUCAAACCUGCCCAAUUUUCUGCCAGAUAACUUGUCAAAUUGGUCUUAAGUGUGUGAAUUGGCAGCUUAUAUCCACCCGAGUAAUGACCACCAUAAUAAGUUUUCCCGCAUACCUUGCACAUGUUUUUCUACAUAUCAUACGCAUUGAGUUGUAGCUUGUGCAGACACUUCUUUGUGUCCAUGUUGGUAAAUUGCUGGCAAAGGACAUUGCUUGAUCCAUUAGUUGCAAAAAGAAUGAGCAUGUAAUUCAUUGGGUAAACGUUUCUUGUGUGUGUAGAAGAACAUGCAAAGGGCACCCUGGGUAUAACACAGAUGGAAAUUAUCGAUGGCACCAAGGGGGAUAGGAGAUUUCUGGGUAUUUGUGUACCUAAUAGGAUUGGCCAUGAUUCCUACGGGAGGGGUGGUUAUUUAAGCGAGAGGAAUGCCUUACCUGCCCCCUUUUCCCCUUGAGCACCUGGAACUCUGUUGAAACUCCCCCACCAACCCUCCCAUGAUUUCAUAUUUUGAGUUUUUGCUUAUAUUAUACUUCAGUGUAUCAUUAUUGUAACACCAUUUCUGUUGCAACUGUAUUUGUUUAUUACUUUUAAGCAUUUAGUAUGUUUUUUUUCUAUUGUUACGGAGGUUGUGUAGGUAUUUAAUUGUGUCCUUGCCAUUGGUAAAAAGUUCUCUUGGUUCACCUCACAUGUCCACCAGUGGCAUUUGGUUUAAUUAUGGUUGGAUAUGGCAUGGAUCCGUUAUUAUUUGACCACUGACCCCAGAGACCUGAUUGGUGUUGAACUAUACUAUUUGCACUGAUCAACUUUAUUUGUAACAGUACCCACAAUGCACUGCAGCUGCUAAAUGCUUCACACUUGUUGGCACACUACUUCUGUCUUAAACACAUAGUGGUAUACAAAGCAUUGUGUAAUAUGGCAUACGUGGCUAAUAUACGUGAGUGAAAAUCUCAAAUUUAAUCUCAAAUGUAUGUUAAUAUUCAAAAGGCAGAGUAAAUAUGUGAAGUUUCCGUGAUUGCAGGCAAUGUCUUUAUUUAUAUUAUAUUCCUGUAUUAUGGUAAAAAGUGCCUUAAUAACUCAAGUGCACGUACUGAACUAUGGGAAGAAAUGUAAUGAAGACAUAACACACGUUAUACUAGUUGCAAUCGAGCAUGUUAUUUGCAUUUUUAUUGGAAUUAUGGUAAUACUCAUCUAGUAUUUUGCAUAUAAUACGUUUGUGCAACAACUUAUAUAUAUAUAGUAUUUUCCUGUUGUCAUAUGUCCAUUAAACAGGAGAAAUAGCCAUUAA